rnacentral:rRNA from 1 species
UGAGGAAUAUUGGUCAAUGGACGCAAGUCUGAACCAGCCAAGUAGCGUGCAGGAUGACGGCCCUAUGGGUUGUAAACUGCUUUUAUAUGGGGAUAAAGUGGGGAACGUGUUCCCUUUUGCAGGUACCAUAUGAAUAAGGACCGGCUAAUUCCGUGCCAGCAGCCGCGGUAAUACGGAAGGUUCGGGCGUUAUCCGGAUUUAUUGGGUUUAAAGGGAGCGUAGGCCGUUUGGUAAGCGUGUUGUGAAAUGUAGGAGCUCAACUUCUAGAUUGCAGCGCGAACUGUCAGACUUGAGUACGCACAACGUAGGCGGAAUUCAUGGUGUAGCGGUGAAAUGCUUAGAUAUCAUGAAGAACUCCGAUUGCGAAGGCAGCUUACGGGAGCGCGAAUGACGCUGAAGCUCGAAGGUACGGGUAUCGAACAGG